CAAAUUAUUCUUAAGAAGAUUAUUUUAUUUACAAUAAAAUUUAUAAUCGUGCAAUUCGAUUUAAUUUGA
rnacentral:tRNA from 1 species